UAACCAGUUCAUCCCAGACUCCUUCCUUCCCUCCUGUUCAUUUAUCUUGUCGUUGUCUUUUCCUCACAGAUGAAAGAGAAGACGUUCAAAAGAAGACUUUCUCAAAAUGGAUAAACUCACAGUUUUCUAAGGCAGGGAAGCCCCCCAUCCAGGACCUCUUCACCGACCUGUGUGAUGGCCGUCGCCUGCUGGAGCUGCUGGAGGGACUGGCAGGUCACGAGCUGGUGAAGGAGAGAGGAUUCACACGCGUCCACUCACUAAACAAUGUCAAUAGAGCGCUGCAGAUCCUACAGAAGAACAAUGUUGAACUGGUGAAUAUAGGAGGAGCCGACAUUGUUGAUGGGAAUCAUAAACUGAUUCUUGGACUCAUUUGGAGCAUAAUUCUCCACUGGCAGGUCAGUUCGUCACCCUGUGUGUU